rnacentral:lncRNA from 1 species
GUUGCCAAGAGCUAUUUCCAGUGGACUUUGAUCAAGUGAUGCUGUAAUCCCUGAUGGGAAGCAUACUUCAUUUAUAAGAGUCUCACUGCUCCUUCUGUGGCUCCAGCCCGGGCUAAGGCAGACUCGAGUGGUGCAGGCGGCUCCCCCAGGUUUUAUAGAGAGCAGCUGCCCUUCCAGGAUCUUUUGGGUGAAAUUGGACAAACGCUUCCUGCAGGGAAAGUUCUUCAGUCUGGAGCUUGUGGACCCCUCUGGUGGCACAGUCCUACUUGAUGAGAAAUUGGCUGCUCGCUGUGGCUAUGUCCUGUCAGAAGAUGUGUGGGGCAAUACUAUCUUCCGGGCUUCUGUGCUUGGCUGUCAUGUGGCAAAUAAGGUGAGUCCCAAAGCCUACCUGAGAGGCUUGGUCUCCAAACAGAUGCUAUAGGAAAUGCAGACU